GAGGAAUGUAUAGCAAUAGCUAGUUGCAUCAUAGUAGAUAUGAUGCAAGAUCGACUAUGUUGAAUAAAAUUCUAGGUAGAAUUAUGAUAAUGACAUUGUCUGCCUAUGUGUCUUGACCAAAUUACGUGCCAGCAGUCGCGGUAAUACGUAGAAGACUAGUGUUAUUCAUGUUUAAUCGGUUUAAAGGGUACCUAGACGGUAGAUCAAGCUUUCUAAUAAAGGAAAAGGACUAAUUUACUAGAGUUACUUAUGAGGGGGUAUUAAAGUACUGCUGGUGUAGAGAUGAAAUUCUGUCAUACCUCUUUUCAAAAGAAAAACCAUGGCACAGGUAUAGGCGAAGGCAUCCCCUUAUGUGAUAACUGACGUUGAGGGACGAAGGCUUUGUGUAGCGAACAGGAUUAGAUACCCCAGUAGUCGAAGCAGAAAAUGAUGAAUGUCAUAGAUUAGAUAUAUAAGUUUAUUCUAUAAAUGAAAGUGUAAGCAUUCCACCUCAUGAGUAAUUUGGCAACAUUGGAACUGAAAUCAUUAGACCGUUUCUGAAACCAGUAGUGAAGUAUGUUGUUUAAUUUGAUGAUCCGCAAAAAACCUUACCACAAUUUGAAUAUUUAUAUUAUUUAUUGUUUUAUUAUUAAUAUUCUUCAUUUUCAUCAGAAWAAGAAGAAUAUUAAUAAUAAGGCAAUAAGAUAUAUUUACAAGCGUUGCACGGCUGUCUUCAGAUAAUGUCGCGAGACUUUGGUUAGUUCCAUUAAAUUAACGUAAACCCUUACUUUAUUUUUAUAUAGAGUAGUUCCCCGCUAUAUUGGAUAUGAU
rnacentral:rRNA from 1 species